GCCGGGAAGAUCAAAGGUAUUACUUUUCAAACACGUUAUCUCUUGGAAGUCAGAAAAAAAAACAAUCUAUAUUCUUUCCUUUACGUAAAUGUUUCUUUAUUCAGGUUUUACUGGAAUCGAUGACCCUUACGAGGCGCCAUUGAAUUGCGAGGUCGUGCUGAAACACACAGGAGACGACGUCUCUUGUUCGCCACGUCAGAUGGCUGAAAACAUCAUCUCUUACUUGCAAGACAAAGGUUACCUUGAAGGCUAAUUAUUAGUCAAAUCUGAAAAAUCAAAGA